UGAAACUGAUCUCUCCGUGAAGAAGCGGAGAUUUUUUUAUAAGACGAGAAGACCCCAUGGAGCUUUAAACCCACCUGCACUCCUAUUUUCUAUUACCUCUAAAACUAUGGAAUCUGCAUUCUUGGUUUUAGGUUGGGGUGACCGCGGAGCACAAUACAGCCUCCACGAUGAACGGGAUUACCCCCUUAUCUAAGAGCUACACCUCUAAGAAUUAGCAUUCUAACAUAAAAUGAUCCGACAAUCGAUCAACGAACCAAGUUACCCUGGGGAUAACAGCGCAAUCCACUUCAAGAGCCCCUAUCGACAAGUGGGUUUACGACCUCGAUGUUGGAUCAGGGUAUCCUAGUGGUGCAGCAGCUACUAAAGGUUCGUUUGUUCAACGAUUAAAACCCU
rnacentral:rRNA from 1 species